AAUUAAUGGCAUACUCUCCUGAAGCCAUGCUGCCCUUACUGCCCUAUAUGUAGCAACCUGCCCCAUAUAAUUUAUGUAUCUAAUACAGACAUGCUCACAUCUGUGAUCAUAUAGUUUUGAAUGUAUAUUGUUUUUUCUUAAAAUUUUUGGGUAAUGCAAUUCACCAAUAGUUGAGAGGGCAAAGGGUGGGUAGAGGGAUUCUUGAGGUGAGGCAAGGGUAGAUUUUACCCCUAGCCACUCCAUUUUCAUUUGUAAGCAUCGUGUCAUGAGUCAACUAUUUGUAAUGAUGGUAUAGAAUUAAAGCCAAUUUCCAACUGAAGCCACUUGAUCAUAUGAGGCACAUGAAAUGCUUCAUCUAGUCAUUUUCCAUGCAAUGUCUCUUACAAAAUUACAACUAUACAUGUGAAGAAAAU
rnacentral:misc_RNA from 1 species